UAGAGUUUGAUCCUGGCUCAGAUUGAACGCUGGCGGCAGGCCUAACACAUGCAAGUCGAGCGGAAACGAGUUAUCUGAACCUUCGGGGAACGAUAACGGCGUCGAGCGGCGGACGGGUGAGUAAUGCCUAGGAAAUUGCCCUGAUGUGGGGGAUAACCAUUGGAAACGAUGGCUAAUACCGCAUGAUGCCUACGGGCCAAAGAGGGGGACCUUCGGGCCUCUCGCGUCAGGAUAUGCCUAGGUGGGAUUAGCUAGUUGGUGAGGUAAGGGCUCACCAAGGCGACGAUCCCUAGCUGGUCUGAGAGGAUGAUCAGCCACACUGGAACUGAGACACGGUCCAGACUCCUACGGGAGGCAGCAGUGGGGAAUAUUGCACAAUGGGCGCAAGCCUGAUGCAGCCAUGCCGCGUGUGUGAAGAAGGCCUUCGGGUUGUAAAGCACUUUCAGUCGUGAGGAAGGUGGUGUAGUUAAUAGCUGCAUUAUUUGACGUUAGCGACAGAAGAAGCACCGGCUAACUCCGUGCCAGCAGCCGCGGUAAUACGGAGGGUGCGAGCGUUAAUCGGAAUUACUGGGCGUAAAGCGCAUGCAGGUGGUUUGUUAAGUCAGAUGUGAAAGCCCGGGGCUCAACCUCGGAAUAGCAUUUGAAACUGGCAGACUAGAGUACUGUAGAGGGGGGUAGAAUUUCAGGUGUAGCGGUGAAAUGCGUAGAGAUCUGAAGGAAUACCGGUGGCGAAGGCGGCCCCCUGGACAGAUACUGACACUCAGAUGCGAAAGCGUGGGGAGCAAACAGGAUUAGAUACCCUGGUAGUCCACGCCGUAAACGAUGUCUACUUGGAGGUUGUGGCCUUGAGCCGUGGCUUUCGGAGCUAACGCGUUAAGUAGACCGCCUGGGGAGUACGGUCGCAAGAUUAAAACUCAAAUGAAUUGACGGGGGCCCGCACAAGCGGUGGAGCAUGUGGUUUAAUUCGAUGCAACGCGAAGAACCUUACCUACUCUUGACAUCCAGAGAACUUUCCAGAGAUGGAUUGGUGCCUUCGGGAACUCUGAGACAGGUGCUGCAUGGCUGUCGUCAGCUCGUGUUGUGAAAUGUUGGGUUAAGUCCCGCAACGAGCGCAACCCUUAUCCUUGUUUGCCAGCGAGUAAUGUCGGGAACUCCAGGGAGACUGCCGGUGAUAAACCGGAGGAAGGUGGGGACGACGUCAAGUCAUCAUGGCCCUUACGAGUAGGGCUACACACGUGCUACAAUGGCGCAUACAGAGGGCGGCCAACUUGCGAAAGUGAGCGAAUCCCAAAAAGUGCGUCGUAGUCCGGAUUGGAGUCUGCAACUCGACUCCAUGAAGUCGGAAUCGCUAGUAAUCGUGGAUCAGAAUGCCACGGUGAAUACGUUCCCGGGCCUUGUACACACCGCCCGUCACACCAUGGGAGUGGG
rnacentral:rRNA from 1 species